AGCGAACGCUGGCGGCAGGCCUAACACAUGCAAGUCGAACGACCUCACCGGAGUUAGCGGCGGACGGGUGAGUACCACGUGGGAACGAGUCCUUCGGUUCGGAAUCUCUCAGGGAAACUUGUGCUACUACAGCCUGUGUCCUUCGGCGGACAGGCUUCUCGUCAUUGGAGCGGGCCGUGUCUAAUCAGCCAGUUGGUUAGGUAACGGCCCACCAAGGCGACGAUCAGUAGCUGGUCUGAGAGGAUGCCCAGCCACACUGAGACUGAGACGCAGCGCGGACUCCUGCAGGAGGCGGCAGUGGGGGAUCUUGCACAAUGGGCGGAAGGCUGACGCAGUCAUGCCUGGUGAGUGAUGAAGGUCGGAGAGUUGUAAAAGUCUUUAACCGGGGACGAUAAUGACGGUACCCGAAGAAUAAGCCCCGGCUAACUUCGUG
rnacentral:rRNA from 1 species